GAAGAGUGAAAAGUGUCACCACGGUACGACAGGUGACCCCCAGCGUACGGUCCUCCUACAUGCGAUCAAUCACUGUGCAGCUCAACAUCUGCAGAGCGACUGUAAAACCUUGUAAACCCAAGGGUGCCCCGCAUUAAUCCUUUUUGCCCGGAGGAUGCCGAAAGAUGUCGCCGCCGUAACACGUAACAGUUGGCCGGAAAGAAAGGCGGAUGUACUUCGCAUUAGGGCACGGUUCUGCUUUCUUCCGUUCCAAAGUUUCGACCGCCGGGGUAUGGUUCUCAUUAGGACAUCCUCCACUCGGAGCUGGAACGGAAACCUUUCCCAUAUGUCGCGCAUUCGUCCACAGCCCUUGACGAAUUACGAACUUCAAGAAAUGCAUCUUUCUCCCGCUGCCUGCAUACGGUGGUGGUCGGGUUUUCGGAGUGUCUCCCGCAUAGCCAUCAUAAGCUACUAAUUUAUGGACCGCGUCACGCUACAGCUGUGUGCCGGAAUGUGACGAAGGCACUGUCUCUGGCCCCUUAGCGGGGCUUUUGCUGUUGAUGAGAUUUUUCGACCCAGACUCCGACUCCGAAAGAUAUGUGUGAAACAUUUUAAUUUAAUUGAUACACUCACUAGUACACACGCUGAUGCGCCACUGAAUGUGGAUGUGAAGGAAAGAAAAGUUGUUGACUAUUUGUUGACUGGCUCUAAUAGUGUGUCAGGCGAUCAGUGUGUUCUCUGCUCUCGGUGCCAUCCAUUCCCGCAUCCGAGCUGUGCUGGAUGCGUUUUUGUAGGCCUUUUUUUCCCCCUCUGCGUGGGAAACUAAGUGUACGUCAAUAUGAGGUCGGUAGGGGCGGUGUUCGUGAAGAAACGUGAAAGACGUUUGGAAAUUUAGUGAGGAGAAAUGUAACAAAAGUCAACCCCAGAUCGAGACUAAUUUUGAGUUUAGAGGGUUCGGCGGGGAGGCACGAAGAUGGGUAGAAGCCACACUGCAUCAGUGAAACAAAUGUUGCAUUUUUAUCUGGCGUCGGAAACAUUUGUUCACAAUUUCUUCCCUAAUGCUCUGGAAAUGGAGGAGUGUGGUGAGGAGCAGUGGAGCACUGUGUUCUAAUUUUUAACUGAGUGACGCAUGUUUGACGGACGUUCUUUUAAUGGAAAUAAAUGGAUUUGCUUAACAAACAGUA